rnacentral:rRNA from 1 species
UGGUGGAGUGAUUUGUCUGCUUAAUUGCGAUAACGAACGAGACCUUAACCUGCUAAAUAGCCCGGCCCGCCUCGGCGGGUCGCCGGCUUCUUAGAGGGACUAUCGGCUCAAGCCGAUGGAAGUUUGAGGCAGUAACA